UACGGAGGAUCCAAGCGUUGUCCGGAUUUAUUGGGCGUAAAGAGCUUGUAGGCGGCUCGUCGCGUCGGGUGUGAAAACUUGCGGCUUAACCGCAAGCCUGCACCCGAUACGGGCGGGCUAGAGUUCGGCAGGGGAGACUGGAAUUCCUGGUGUAGCGGUGGAAUGCGCAGAUAUCAGGAGGAACACCGGUGGCGAAGGCGGGUCUCUGGGCCGAUACUGACGCUGAGAAGCGAAAGCGUGGGGAGCGAACAGG
rnacentral:rRNA from 1 species